AAAGGAGAGAGAAGGAAAGGCCCAAAUAUGGAAUGGACUUCACUUCUGAGUGUGAACCUUCUCCACUUUCAUCAGUGGCCAUCUGGCAUUCAGUGCUCCAUGGCAUUUCUUUCAAAUGACUGGCAACUUCCAACAGUUUCCUUGGCGCUACCGCUGGGAAGGCUCUGUCCCUAGGAAUGUUCUAGAAACAGUCAAAGCUCAACUCCAGCAGAUACUCUUACCUUUACUAAUAUAUCAAGAUGCUAAGACUAAGAGCAGGAAACUAGUUUAAUAAGAGUGUCUCCCAAGGAGUCUUAGCCCACUGGGUUCUGUGCUUGCCCAAAGGACCAACUGCAUCUGAGUCAACUGGAAGACUUGCUAAAAUCCGUAUUUCCAGGCUCCAUCUCAGAGACACUGAAUCAGAGUCUCUCAUAGUGUGGUUUGGUGAUCUGCACUUCUGACAUGUCAUUGUCUGGAUUUUGUGAUCAUAAAAUUUUGAGAACUUCUAUUCUCUUUGUAUUUGUCUCAU